GGGGGCGCCCUGGUUUCGACUGGAAGUCUGAGGUGCUGGCUGCAUGUGAAGGUUAAUCGGUUGGCCUUCUAAAAAGCCGAUUAAAAAAAUAAAUGCAGAGUCUAAUGACUUCGCAAUGGCUGCUUAAUUAGUUCAGCCGCGUCAGAACCUCAACGCCUGCUAGAGGGGACGACGACAGUUUAGCAGGCUGGUACAAGGUGGGGUUACCGCACUGAGUAUGAGACUUCCACAGGUAACUAGCGGCACGAGUGGGUGGCACAUAACCGUGACUGUCGCGAAUCGCAGCCUAUGUGUCUGAACAUGGAGAUGCUGGUUCCAACGGCCUUCAGGACACGGGUUCGACUCCCGUCGCCUCCACCA
rnacentral:tmRNA from 1 species